UCUCGUUUCUUCCAUUAUCCAGGCCCCAAAACAAGUGCAACUCGGCCAACAUUCACCACUGUUGCGGCAUCCACCCGUGUGUUCUCUGCAAACACCUCCUCAAAUGCCAGCAAGUCCAGUGCUGCAAGAGAACGCCAUCCCAUCAUCACCACGCAUGUUUGUGGUGGUCCCACGUAAAUUGGAGUAUCGUUCACCUACAAGCAUGACAAAAACAAAACCAGUUGUGGUGCACCGAUCAACAUAUACACAGACAGACGUAGCUGCGAAAGCACUGCAGGAACGGGGUUGUCAGACAGAGCCAUGGGAACUGCCAGUUGAAAG